UACGAGGGGUGCAAGCGUUAAUCGGAAUUACUGGGCGUAAAGCGUUCGUAGGCGGUUGAUUAAGCAAGAUGUGAAAGCCCAGGGCUCAACCUUGGAACUGACAUUUUGACUGGUCAACUAGAGUACUGUAGAGGGUGGUGGAAUUUCCAGUGUAGCGGUGAAAUGCGUAGAGAUUGGAAGGAACAUCAGUGGCGAAGGCG
rnacentral:rRNA from 1 species